rnacentral:lncRNA from 1 species
UCUUCUCCCAGUUCCUGCUUUCCUCGGUCAUUCGUGCACGCUGCUAUCUGCGUUCCCCUGUCUUUAUUUUCACGGUACGUUUCUUCUUUUACCAGGGAUAGCUCUAAUCUCUCGGAUGUCGUCAACCUAGAGUUUAGCAUCACCCCGUCUAACAUCUAAAACUUCAUUCCCAAGAAAUACCUGGAUAUCCCUUUUUUUACGUUAGUGCCCCUUGCCGGAAGGGGAGAAUCGUUCUCCUCGAUCCUCAUCCUUCUAGUUUAAUCGACCCUCAGAAAGAUGUGAGCUUGAUUUUGUCUUCCUUCGAAUCUGUUUGUCUGAGCUGGGGGUUCACACCCACGGCGCGUCUGUUCAUCACCUUCUUCAGGGGGGUCAAGAUGAGCCAAAAAUCUUAUUACUUUGUCCCUCGUGGAGGCCCAUUUUAAUCUCGCUUUUGUGAUUUUCGCCGAGAAGUCUUCUAACUUGCCCCGAUUUUGGAUUUUUUGCAGCUUCUGAAAUGAAAAUGGAUCAGAUUAAGCCCUCUAAGAAUUUCGUGCUCUCCUGGUAAAAUAUGAAUACUGCCUCGGGCGCCUUCCUAGCGGGGCGAUCGAGGGGGGAGACUUCCCAACAAGUGGCCGAAGUAAGAUCGUCCAAGUCGUCUUUCCGGCCUCCUUCCCCUGCUCCUGCCCGAGCUCCGAAGCCGGGCCCUCGAGAUGCUAAAUCUUCAAGGUCGUCAAGCUGCAGCAAGUCGGGCUCGGCCACUCAAGCUGUUC